UCAUUUUAUGAAAUGCUUAUAGUGAUAUUGGAGCAAUAGAGAAGAUUGGUAUGAUACCCAUGCUAGGCUGAUAGGCAAAUAUGUGAACAAUUUUUAAUUUUU